rnacentral:rRNA from 1 species
ACGUAGGGUGCGAGCGUUGUCCGGAAUUAUUGGGCGUAAAGGGCUCGUAGGCGGUUUGUCGCGUCGGGAGUGAAAUCCACUGGCUUAACUGGUGGCUUGCUUUCGAUACGGGCAGACUGGAGGUAUGCAGGGGAGAACGGAAUUCCUGGUGUAGCGGUGAAAUGCGCAGAUAUCAGGAGGAACACCGGUGGCGAAGGCGGUUCUCUGGGCAUGUCCUGACGCUGAGGAGCGAAAGUGUGGGGAGCGAACAGGA